UACGUAGGGUGCAAGCGUUAAUCGGAAUUACUGGGCGUAAAGCGUGCGCAGGCGGUUUUGUAAGACUGUCGUGAAAUCCCCGGGCUCAACCUGGGAAUGGCGAUGGUGACUGCAAGGCUAGAGUUUGGCAGAGGGGGGUAGAAUUCCACGUGUAGCAGUGAAAUGCGUAGAGAUGUGGAGGAACACCGAUGGCGAAGGCAGCCUUCUGGGCCAACACUGACGCUCAUGCACGAAAGCGUGGGGAGCAAACAGG
rnacentral:rRNA from 1 species